rnacentral:rRNA from 1 species
CUGCGGAAGGAUCAUUCGCACAUGUUCCAAUCAUUCUCUUGUGAACUCUUCUGUGAGGGUCUGUGCCUGGUCGUGCCCUCGGGUGCCUGGGUGCAGAUGCUCUAGGGCGGUGGGUCGAGCCGACGUUGCUUCGGCCUUCGCCCCACUGCCGCCUCCGCUACAUUGCAACGUGCUCUCUCAUCCUCUCUUCAAUGGCUUCUGCCAUGACCCUUUUACAACUUUCAGCGAUGGAUGUCUCGGUUCGAUCAACGAUGAAGGGCGCAGCGAAGUGCGAUAAGCAUUGUGAAUUGCAGAAUUCCGUGAACCGACAGGGACUUGAACGCAUAUUGUGCUUUUGGGAUAUCCCUGAAAGCAUGCCUGCUUCAGUGUCUACGCUUUGUCGUUCCAGCAGUUGUCGCCCAUCACGGGCAUGCUGCUGCGAGUGCCUGUGCCUCAUGACGCGCAAUCUUCUGGCGCUCCUGAGGCAUCAAGUAGACAUGUCUGUGCUUCGACGGCCAGCUCAUCGAAUACCUCGCGUAUCCUUGCUGCUGCGCCCGCCCUAGCGCGAGGCAUGCUGUCUCAUCCCCAAGCUUUCGUCUCUGGCGAAGCUUCCAAGACAUGAAGUUAGGUUGGCAAACCCGCUGAAUUUAAGCAUAUAAGUAAGCGGAGGAUAAGAAACUAAAUAGGAUUCCCUCAGUAAUGGCGAAUGAACAGGGAUCAGCUCAACAUGGAAAUUGGGGCUUCUGGCUUUGAAUUGUAAUCUCAAGAUGUAUUGCCAACAGGGGCGCAGAUGUAAGCCUCUUGGAAAAGAGAAUCAUUGAGGGUGAGAAUCCUGUUUGUCAUCUGCAGUCCUCUGUGUACGGCAUGCGUUCUAAGAGUCACGUUCCUCGGGAUUGGAGCGCAAAUUGGGUGGUAAAUUUCAUCUCAAGCUAAAUAUGGGUUCGAAACCGAUAGCAAACAAGUACCAUGAGGGAAAGAUGAAAAGGACUUUGAAAAGAGAGUUAAAAGUGCCUGAACUUGCUGAAAGGAAAGCGGAUGGAACCAGUGUUGCUUAGUGAGAUUGUUGCGCGCUAAGGUGAUGGCCUGCUGCAUCAGCGCAAGCGUUGCUGUGGGUUUUGAUCUGGUUGCGCGUGAUGCUUCUUGCUUUGAACGUCAUCUGGGGUUUGGAGGUGCUGACAACUCUUGGGACAUGGUAGCUCGCCUCUGGGUGAGCGAACGUGCCAAGCAGAACGUACCCCCAGACCUCUCGUCCUUGUGCGGGAGUUCUGCGCGCGGCAUGGUGACUGAAUGGUUCUAUUCGACCCGUCUUGAAACACGGACCAAGGAGUCUAACAUAUGUGCAAGUUCUUGGGUGGUGAAACCUACGUGCGCAAUGAAAGUGAUUACUGAGAUGCUUGCAUCAGCAGCCGACCGAUCAAUUGGGAGAGGUUUGAGCAUGAGCAUAUCUGUUAGGACCCGAAAGAUGGUGAACUAUGCCUGUGAAGGGUGAAG